CCUUCCUUCAGGUCGGCGUCGAUGAAUCUGUCGAGCCGACCUCGUCUAAUGAGCUCCUCGAUCUCGUCUCGAAGCUGAAUACACUCCUCUGUGUCAUGGCCAUGGUCACGAUGAUAGAGGCAAAAUUUGUUUGUGUUGUGCUUCCCAAGAUGCGAGCGCAUCCUCUCCGACCUUGGGAGCUGCUCCUUAACCUCCAUCGGCACUUGAGCUUUCGAGGUGUUGAGAGGGGCGUAGCUGUGGAACCUUCCAAGAGGAGAGCCUCACCGAACUCGAUGGUAUGGGCUUCUCUGCUUACAAGUUUGGGGAGGAGUCCGGACGUGCC
rnacentral:lncRNA from 1 species